AUGCUUCUGCUUUCUGUAUGGAGCUGGGAGCGUCUGCCUGUUGGACGCCCGAAGAGCGUCAAGUUUAAUCCUUGGGAUGAAGAUGGCGAAUUACGGCGCCCCACUUGGGCUUACAAGUGGGAUGUGGUAUCCGAGAUGACGAACGAUGUCAAUCUCAUGUACCAAAAGUACAUUGCCGAGUUGGACACGAUUACGCCUGAGCAGGUAACGAGGUCAUUACUUCAGUCAUUUCUCAUGCUUGCCUGA
rnacentral:rRNA from 1 species